AGAGUUUGAUCAUGGCUCAAAUUGAACGCUGGCGGCAGGCCUAACACAUGCAAGUCGAGCGGUAGAGAGAAGCUUGCUUCUCUUGAGAGCGGCGGACGGGUGAGUAAUGCCUAGGAAUCUGCCUGGUAGUGGGGGAUAACGUUCGGAAACGGACGCUAAUACCGCAUACGUCCUACGGGAGAAAGCAGGGGACCUUCGGGCCUUGCGCUAUCAGAUGAGCCUAGGUCGGAUUAGCUAGUUGGUGAGGUAAUGGCUCACCAAGGCGACGAUCCGUAACUGGUCUGAGAGGAUGAUCAGUCACACUGGAACUGAGACACGGUCCAGACUCCUACGGGAGGCAGCAGUGGGGAAUAUUGGACAAUGGGCGAAAGCCUGAUCCAGCCAUGCCGCGUGUGUGAAGAAGGUCUUCGGAUUGUAAAGCACUUUAAGUUGGGAGGAAGGGUUGUAGAUUAAUACUCUGCAAUUUUGACGUUACCGACAGAAUAAGCACCGGCUAACUCUGUGCCAGCAGCCGCGGUAAUACAGAGGGUGCAAGCGUUAAUCGGAAUUACUGGGCGUAAAGCGCGCGUAGGUGGUUUGUUAAGUUGGAUGUGAAAUCCCCGGGCUCAACCUGGGAACUGCAUUCAAAACUGACUGACUAGAGUAUGGUAGAGGGUGGUGGAAUUUCCUGUGUAGCGGUGAAAUGCGUAGAUAUAGGAAGGAACACCAGUGGCGAAGGCGACCACCUGGACUAAUACUGACACUGAGGUGCGAAAGCGUGGGGAGCAAACAGGAUUAGAUACCCUGGUAGUCCACGCCGUAAACGAUGUCAACUAGCCGUUGGAAGCCUUGAGCUUUUAGUGGCGCAGCUAACGCAUUAAGUUGACCGCCUGGGGAGUACGGCCGCAAGGGUUA
rnacentral:rRNA from 1 species